AUUGAACGCUGGCGGCAGGCUUAACACAUGCAAGUCGAGCGGGGUGAUGGUGCUUGCACUAUCACUUAGCGGCGGACGGGUGAGUAAUGCUUAGGAAUCUGCCUAUUAGUGGGGGACAACAUCUCGAAAGGGAUGCUAAUACCGCAUACGUCCUACGGGAGAAAGCAGGGGAUAACUUGUAACCUUGCGCUACUAGAUGAGCCUAAGUCGGAUUAGCUAGUUGGUGGGGUAAAGGCCUACCAAGGCGACGAUCUGUAGCGGGUCUGAGAGGAUGAUCCGCCACACUGGGACUGAGACACGGCCCAGACUCCUACGGGAGGCAGCAGUGGGGAAUAUUGGACAAUGGGGGGAACCCUGAUCCAGCCAUGCCGCGUGUGUGAAGAAGGCCUUAUGGUUGUAAAGCACUUUAAGCGAGGAGGAGGCUCCUUUGGUUAAUACCCAAGAUGAGUGGACGUUACUCGCAGAAUAAGCACCGGCUAACUCUGUGCCAGCCGCCGCGGUAA
rnacentral:rRNA from 1 species